GCCGGGCGUGGUGGCGCACGCCUUUAAUCCCAGCACUCGGGAGGCAGAGGCAGGUGGAUUUCUGAGUUCGAGGCCAGCCUGGACUACAAAGUGAGUUCCAGGACAGCCAGGGCUAUACAGAGAAACCCUGUCUCAAAAAAAAAAAAAAAAAAAAAAAAAAAAAAAAAAAGAAUGUUAGCUAUACUCACAAACUUAAAAACUGCCCCUUGCAUUCUCUCUAAUACUCAUUUUUUUUUUAAGACAGGGUUUCUCUGUGUAGCCCUGGCUGUCCUGGAACUCACUUUGUAGACCAGGUUGGCUUCGAACUCAGAA
rnacentral:lncRNA from 1 species